rnacentral:rRNA from 1 species
UACGUAGGGUGCAAGCGUUAAUCGGAAUUACUGGGCGUAAAGCGUGCGCAGGCGGCUAUGCAAGACAGAUGUGAAAUCCCCGGGCUCAACCUGGGAACUGCAUUUGUGACUGCAUGGCUAGAGUACGGUAGAGGGGGAUGGAAUUCCGCGUGUAGCAGUGAAAUGCGUAGAUAUCUGGAGGAAUACCGGUGGCGAAGGCGGCAUCCUGGACCGACAUUGACGCUGAGGAGCGAAAGCUAGGGGAGCAAACGGG